rnacentral:rRNA from 1 species
GACGAACGCUGGCGGCGUGCUUAACACAUGCAAGUCGAACGGUAAGGCCCUUCGGGGUACACGAGUGGCGAACGGGUGAGUAACACGUGGGUGAUCUGCCCUGCACUUCGGGAUAAGCCUGGGAAACUGGGUCUAAUACCGGAUAGGACUCCUGGCUUCAUGGUUGGGGGUGGAAAGCUUUUGCGGUGUGGGAUGGGCCCGCGGCCUAUCGGCUCGUUGGUGGGGUAAUGGCCUACCAAGGCGACGACGGGUAGCCGGCCUGAGAGGGUGACCGGUCACACUGGGACUGAGAUACGGCCCAGACUCCUACGGGAGGCAGCAGUGGGGAAUAUUGCACAAUGGGCGCAAGCCUGAUGCAGCGACGCCGCGUGAGGGAUGACGGCCUUCGGGUUGUAAACCUCUUUCAGCUAUGACGAAGCGCAAGUGACGGUAGUAGCAGAAGAAGGACCGGCCAACUACGUGCCAGCAGCCGCGGUAA